AUUCAAUAUCACCAAAAAUGAAAAGAACUACUUGAUGCCGUGCUUGGAAGCACUCAAGGAGGUAUUGUUGACGGAUACUAUUUUACCUGACACACAUCCUAAAAGAGAAAUGAGCAAAAAAAUAUAUACAGGACAUGACAAAAUUUAAAAAUCAGCAGCCAUACCUUCUUAUUUAUAUAAAUUAUACAAGUGAUGUAUAGAGCUAUUCCAAAAUGGGAAAACACAUGUCUCGAGUCCAGAGUGCUAAAAUUAAUAGGUGGCAAAGCCCACAAAUUCUUUCGUGGAAUCUGGUAUCCUGCAAAAUGAAAUUACUAACCGUGUAUACUUUGAAAAACGAAACUUAAUUUGUUUUUAAAAAAAAUGAGACUUGGCAAUUGAAAAGCCAGUCGAUCGACAACGGUGAAUAUUGUAAAUAAUUGCAAAAUAUAACCGUUCAGUUGAUAUCAAGACUUUUCUUGGACUUCCCGCAUGUCUUACACAGAUAGUUUAAUCUUGAUAAAUUUAUGGAAGGCCAUCACAGGCUAACGUAUUGUUCCUAUGGAGAAAUUCUGGCUCAUGAGACUCUGAUACUCUCACCCCUUUUAAGUAGUUUGAUGUUAAUGCUGUAAUGAGUGGGCGAUCUUAUAAGAAUAAAAAAAACACAUUUAAUUAAGCUGCUUUGGAACAUACAUAAUAGUUAGUUUACAACAUAAGGUGUCAUGAACCCAGCAAAAACCUACACAAAUUUCAGACUAUAUAUUUGCACUUUUAUUUUUAAUGUGUCUGCAUGUAUCUAUAGUGUCCCAUACACAAAGCUUUAGAAUAACAAUGGUAUUGAAGCUGUUUAUAAUAUUUGGUCUCUGAAAUCCCAAAAGCUUUGUAAUUUACAUGAAUAUCUUUCUCUUAUGUUCUGCUAUGUAUGGGAACUUUGUAACUCUAGUUGGGAUAUGGAAAAAUAAUAUAUGCUUAUCACUUUUUCCUGUUAUCACAACACGGAAAAGAAGGAAGACGUAAGAAGCAGAAGGAACUUGCCUUAACGAUUACGAGAACCCUUAUAGAUUCUAACUUUAAAAUGUUCUUUUUUAACAUCUGGCUCAAGCUCCCCAUUGUUGCGACCACUAAUAUAGGAAGCUCCGCCUGUUUUCCACUAAAAAGGUCAACAACAUGCUAAAAGUAUAAGGAACGCAUUAAAGGUAUACGUCAUCUUGCUUUUAUGUCUAACAAGAUCAUCAUCGUCCAUAUAAGCAAACAUAUCUACAGUCACAAUUAGGGUUGUAAAUGAACCGAGCUGUUCGUGAACAAACUCGGCUCGACUCGUUUAAAGCUCGACUCGGUUCGACUCGGUUCGUUAUCGAGCUCGAGUUCAAACAAAAAAAUUUGAUCGUUAAAAAACUCGAGUCGAGUCGAGUUUUACUAGUGUUCGACUCGAGCUCGACUCGUAAUCGACUCGAGCUCGAUUCGGCUCGUUAAACUCGAACUCGACUCGUUAAACAAAAUAUAUAUGAUUUUUUAAUUUUUAAUGUGUAAAAAAUAUGGAUAAUGAAAUGUAAUUUUUUUUCAUUUUUGAUAUUUUCCUAAUAUCAUUAAAAUAACUAGAUCCUAAUAUCCUUACGGUUAAAUUGUCAAUAAUUUUUUUGAGAAAAAAAUAUAACAUCAAUUCAGGACCAUACAUAUAUAGAGUACUAGUUAUUUCACUAGUUGAUUAUUAAAGUUUCACAUCAAAUAUAUUUUUUGCUUUGUGAUAUUUUUGUAAAAUCAUUAUAAUAAGAAUAUCCCAACAUCUGGGUGGUUGAAUCUUCAAGAAAUAUUUUAAAAACUUUUUUAAUAUUAAUUAUUUUUUUCAAAAAAAAAAUCAAAUUUUCGCGAAUGGCUCGACUCGACUCGAACUCAACUCGAACUCGAUUCGACUCGAAUUGUUCGCGACCAGCUCGAGCUCGACUCGGUUUUUAACGAACUCGAGUUCGAACAACAAAAAAUGAUCAUUUACCUUAUCGAUCAAGCUCGACUCGUUUAGCAAAAACUCGAACUCAGACUCGACUCGCAAAAACUCGACUCGACUCGGUUCGUUUACAGUCCUAGUCACAAUGAUAUAUUAUCAUGAAAAAGUAUAUUACAGUAAUUUCGCCUAAAGUGUCCACUUUUAUAAAAGUAUUGACAGGAGACAAGUGAUAUCAAAUGCUCUAUGCAACUCCAGAAAGAAAA
rnacentral:lncRNA from 1 species